rnacentral:tRNA from 1 species
GGGGUCGUAGUCCAAUAGGCAGGAGACACACGGUUUAGGUCCGUGCCAGUUCGGGUUCGAAUCCCGACGGCCCUA